rnacentral:tRNA from 1 species
GGAAGCGUGUCCGAGUGGUUGAAGGAGCACGAUUGGAAAUCGUGUAGGGGUGGUGACAUCUCUCGGAGGUUCGAAUCCUCUCGCUUCCGCCA